CCUACGGGAGGCAGCAGUCGAGAAUCAUUCACAAUGGGGGAAACCCUGAUGGUGCGACGCCGCGUGGGGGAAUGAAGGUCUUCGGAUUGUAAACCCCUGUCAUGUGGGAGCAAAUUAAAAAGAUAGUACCACAAGAGGAAGAGACGGCUAACUCUGUGCCAGCAGCAGCGGUAAUACAGAGGUCUCAAGCGUUGUUCGGAAUCACUGGGCGUAAGGCGUGCGUAGGCUGUUUCGUAAGUCGUGUGUGAAAGGCGCGGGCUCAACCCGCGGACGGCACAUGAUACUGCGAGACUAGAGUAAUGGAGGGGGAACCGGAAUUCUCGGUGUAGCAGUGAAAUGCGUAGAUAUCGAGAGGAACACUCGUGGCGAAGGCGGGUUCCUGGACAUUAACUGACGCUGAGGCACGAAGGCCUGGGGAGCGAAAGGGAUUAGAUACCCUAGUAGUC
rnacentral:rRNA from 1 species